rnacentral:lncRNA from 1 species
AGGAGGUAGAAGCCACAGGAACAAAACUAAAUACAGCUAAAAUUCAGCCAUGAGCUCUAGUACAGAAUAACUCUCAAAGGCCUCCUGACGUUUUUACCUUCUUGCUAUAAACCUUUCUUGAAGGGUAAAGUAAGAGGAACAACAAAUGAGGACACAAGAUUCUUUGACAGGAGAUUACGCCAUCAGGCUUGAAAGCAGAAGUCUGGAACUUCUAAUAAGGCAGAUCUCCUGGAAGACUGGAAGGAAAAGCAGCAACAAUACCAGAAUCCUGACAGUGUGAUUGAUACAUUGUGUGAGCUUGGACAUGGUACUAGAUUUCCUAAGCCAAGUUCACAGAGUAUUGGUAAGAACAGAGACACACACCUGGUGAGAGGGAGCAGAGGGUCCAAGGACAUGCCUCUGAAAUUGGGCAGAGGAAUUUGAAUCCUGGCUUUACUAAUUACCACUUUUUUUUCCAAUUCUUUCAUCUCUAAAACAUGAUUAGUACCAGUAAAUUCUCACCGUUUGUUGUGAGGAGUAUGUAAGUACUGUAUUAGUAUUCUCAAUUAUUGCUAGUAGUACCAUAAAACUUGAUUAAAUUAUGCUAUAGAUUAUUUAUGUUUCUUUUAUAUCAUGCUAUGAACUCUAUUUAUAUCCUGUAUACCUAUAACAUUUGAUUGAGUCACAAAUUUUAAUGGAUCCAUAGACUCUGGAUCCAUGUGGCUUCUAUCCCAUUAUUCUUGGUAGGAGAUUAGAUUUAUCCAAAAGCAGAAAAUACUUGGUGAUGUACAUUGUUCCAGUUAAAACUCAGUAUUUAGUGAGAAAAUAAUUGAAGCAAAGGAGAAAAUAACUAAAUUGCCACGUGUUGUCCUUACCCACAUACUUGAAGCUGGCUCACAAUACUAUGGGAAGUGAAUGGGGCCUCUUAAAGCAGGUGGUCCAGAAUUUGCACCCAUUCCUUCUUAUCGCAUCCUCCUGGUUGGAACUUGGACUCUAGUCUGUCCCUACAUGAAAGGAAUAUAUUUUUUCUAACUAGAUUUCUAUAAGCCAUCUCCAAGAAGGGAGUGAGAAGAAACUGGGGUACAAUUUGCCAUGUUAAAACACUGCUAUGACCCUAGAAACAUUAAAACAAUGGUUCCAAGUUCAGAUUAAUGUCUGAGGUUGAAUUCAUGUAGCAUAACCUGAGGAGUGAAGUGAGAAUAUAAUAGAGAUGGAAAGGAAAUACCAGCAAUAGUUGGCAUCUUUACCUUUUCCACUAGCUUUCUAAAACUAUUUUCAUAAAAUCUGUAUCCACUCAUGAA